CUUAUAAACUCUAAAAUAAAUUUAUCUGUUUGUUUACAUAAGCCAAAAAAUAAGCUACAGAUUUGCUUUUCAUUUUUGUGCUUAUAAGUUAUUUUAACUAAGUAUUUUAGUAUUUCACCCUCGUUUAAUUUUUAAAAUUUCACUACAAAUCUAAUUUAAUAUUUGUUUAGUCAUGUUAUAAUAAAUAUGCUUAUAAGCUUUUAUUUUUGUUUACCAAAUUCAUCAACAUUUUUCAGUAACUCGUAAACACUUUAGCCUCACACUUAAAUGUUUAAAAUUUUAAAUACUUGGAAACUCAAAUUAUAAAUACCAUAAGCUAAGCCAAAUUCCUCUUAAACAAGGCUAUAACAUUUCUACUUUUAUCGCUGAUGAAGAUAUAACUCACAUAAAAGUAAUUUACGGUUAUUAGAAAGAAAAUCAUGAAACAUUCUCAGAAGUACAAUUCCUCAAUUGCAAUAUCACGCCGGAUCAACCAGUUCUCACGUACAUAUAAUUCAGCUUUUUCAGAAAUCAAUUCACAAAAUCCAUCUCGAAGCCUAAUUUACCAAAUCAAAAUUAUGCAAGCAUGUUCAUCACUUGAAUCGGUAAUAUUUUUAAGCGACUCACGGUUUAUCAAAUAAAAAGACCUCUGAUAAACGGUUUAUAUACGAUUGGACGAAAAAUUUCACUUGCCUG
rnacentral:misc_RNA from 1 species